AUGCUUCCACUUUCUGUGCUGCUGGACGGCCGGUGGCUUCCCAAAGCUUGCCUGCCUUUCAAAUUGUUCAGGCCGGAGCUGCAAUCCUUCCACCCACCCCUUUCCCGUGAGGUAAAGAGAAUGUUCAUACCUCAGGUCUUGUUACCAAGCAACAGAGUUCCAUUUGCCAAUUGCCACCAUUUCCUUCUCAUAGUAUUACAGGCCUUAUUAUUAACAUUUAGUUCAGAGAAAUUGCUGUCAUUAUGUGAAGUAACUUCCUUUAGAGGUUAUUCAUUAACCUUAGGUAUUUUACUGUGUAAUUAUAAUUGCCAAGUGCCGCAGGCUUGGAAAACCUUUGAACUCCUCAAGGUUGCCCACUGUACACUCCGAAGAGAACCGUGACGAACUUGCCCUCUUGGGUCUUGAGUUGCCCAGAUGCG
rnacentral:lncRNA from 12 species